rnacentral:rRNA from 1 species
AUUGAACGCUGGCGGAUUGCUUUACACAUGCAAGUCGAGCGGCAGCGCGGCCUUCGGGCUGGCGGCGAGCGGCGAACGGGUGAGUAAUGCAUCGGAACAUGCCCAGUCGUGGGGGAUAACACUUCGAAAGAAGUGCUAAUACCGCAUACGUCCUGAGGGGGAAAGCGGGGGAUCGCAAGACCUCGCGCGAUUGGAGUGGCCGAUGUCAGAUUAGCUAGUUGGUGGGGUAAAGGCCUACCAAGGCGACGAUCUGUAGCUGGUCUGAGAGGAUGAUCAGCCACACUGGGACUGAGACACGGCCCAGACUCCUACGGGAGGCAGCAGUGGGGAAUUUUGGACAAUGGGGGCAACCCUGAUCCAGCCAUUCCGCGUGAGUGAAGAAGGCCUUCGGGUUGUAAAGCUCUUUCGGCAGGAACGAAACGGUGGGCUCUAACAUAGUCCGCUAAUGACGGUACCUGAAGAAGAAGCACCGGCUAACUACGUG